AACGAACGCUGGCGGCAUGCCUAACACAUGCAAGUCGAACGAGCCCUUCGGGUCUUGUGUCGCACGGGUGCGUAACGCGUGGGAACCUGCCCUUAGGUUCGGCAUAACUCCCCGACAGGGGUGCUAAUACCGGAUAAUGUCUUCGGACCAAAGAUUUAUCGCCUUUGGAUGGGCCCGCGUUGGAUUAGCUAGUUGGUAGGGUAAAAGCCUACCAAGGCGACGAUCCAUAGCUGGUCUGAGAGGAUGAUCAGCCACACUGGGACUGAGACACGGCCCAGACUCCUACGGGAGGCAGCAGUGGGGAAUAUUGGAAAAUGGGCGAAAGCCUGAUCCAGCAAUGCCGCGUGAGUGAUGAAGGCCUUAGGGUUGUAAAGCGCUUUUACCCGGGAUGAUAAUGACAGUACCGGGAGAAUAAGCUCCGGCUAACUCCGUG
rnacentral:rRNA from 1 species